CUCCUGGGAGGUCUCAACAGGAGAUCCUCAGCCCAUUUUACAGAUGGGGGCAGCUGAGGACCCGAGGAAAGAAGUUCUAUUACCUCAAAAUGGCUCAGCUCACUAGGAGCAGAGACUGGAUUUAGGUCAUGGGAAGUGUUCAAAUGACCAGGAAGAGGCAGGAAUGGGGCCCAAGGAAAUGGAUCAUGACACCCCCGCUAAAGACAAAGUUCAACUCUGCUGCUGUCUGGCUCCAGCACUCCAAUAAGCAAAGAGUCAGGACCUGCUAAGCUGGUUGGAACAGGACUUCAUGGUGUAACUCAUGAGAGACGACUCAAUGCCAAAGACUGAGGUUACAGCAGGGUGUUUACAGCAGUGGCCAUAC